GCCGUGGCUCCGCCCCGGGGUUGCCUUUCCCUUAGAAGGCAAAGCCCCAAGCCUCGCCUCUCGCCGGCGGAAAGUUGCGCUGUGCUGCCCGCACUCCCCUCGCCCCCGACGACGCCGCCGGAGCCCCCGGAGGGCCCGAGACCCCGCGCCCUCAGCGCUCCAGCCCGGCUCGGGCGUGGACAGGGCGGGCGCCGGGGCGGGGCGCGCGUCCUCGCCAGUUUGAAUGGAAGGAUCCAGAUCUGCGGAGACGGCGGCCAGCAGAUACUGAGGCCAGCACUCCUCCCCAGCCCCCGCGCCCGAGACAUGCGGUGGGAGAGGUGCGGCGCCCCCCGCCCGCGUCCCCGCCAUGGAGGUGCUGCGGCGCUCCUCGGUCUUCGCCGCCGAGAUCAUGGACGCCUUUGACCGCUCGCCCACCGACAAGGAGCUGGUGGCCCAGGCCAAGGCGCUCGGCCGGGAGUUCGUGCACGCGCGGCUGCUGCGCGCCGGCCUCGCCUGGAGCGCGCCGGAGCGCGCCACGCCCGCCCCCGGCGGCCGCCUGGCCGAAGUGUGCGGGGUGCUGCUGCGCCUGGCGGACGAGCUGGAGCUGAUCCGGCCCAGCGUCUACCGCAACGUGGCCCGCCAGCUGAACAUCUCCCUGCAGUCCGAGACCGUGGUGACCGACGCCUUCCUGGCUGUGGCAGCCCAGAUCUUUUCUGGAGAUCUUGUCUCGCCACCCGUGACCUCGUGCCCUGUUCUGGUGCCCCUGCUCUGCGUGUCCACCCCGGUCCUGUGUCCUGGACGUACUUGUCUGCAAUCAAGCAUCCCCGCCCCACCCAGCUGGCUCUACCUUUUUCUCGUGGCGGCCUCCACACCGCCACCUGCCCCUCCGGUGCUGUGGGGCGCCCGCCCCCUCGUGGGCUGUGUGACCUGCAAGUGGCUUCUUAACCUCCGUGGACCUCAGAGCCGCCUGAACGGGGUGCAGAAACAGGCUCCACGGAGCAUAGCGCUGCGGGUCCACCCCUCCUGCCGCCGGCUGGCUCUCAGCCCGUCCCCCUGACCAGCCCGUGGCCGCCCCAGGCGCCCUCCCGCUUCCCGCCCACCCGAGGUCUCCCUUCAGCCCUUGCUCAUCCCAGCCUUCCCGGUCCUCAGGCCCCCUGGCCACCAGGCGAGCUCCAGCCAUCAGAUGCUUGCCGGCCCUGCCCGUCUCUGCCCGCAGCCUCUCCCAAGCAGCUGGGUCUUGCACUCGCUGACCCCCCGGGCUGGUCCUUCCUCCCCCUCCUCCUCCCGGCCGGCCCCUCACCUGCUCUGGCUGUGGCCGGUGACGUGGACGGCUCGAGGACUGCAGGGCAGGGUUCCAGGUGGCCCCCCCACGUGGCUGAGCCCCCGCGAAGGCAGAGGCAGGGGGUGCUGUUCCCGGCUGCGUCUUGGCUGAAGGCGCUUCUCAGUUCCCUUCAGUGGAAAAACUGAAAGUUGGCAAGUGUUUUCAUUUUUUUCUUCUCAUUACGAGAGCAAAAUAUUUCACCAUGGAAAGAUCAGAGAAUACAUGAGAUAAAGAACUCUCAGAAAUCAGUACUAAAAAGACCACCUCACUUUAAAAAGAGCAAAGGGUCUGAAUAGGCAUCUCGUCAGGGAAGGUGUGUGAACAGCCAGCACGUGCACGAGAAGUUGCUCAGCCUCAUCAGUCACCAGGGAGACGCACAUCACACCACAACAAGAUGCCACCUCGCGCCCACUGGGGCACUCAAGGCAAAAGGCCAGAGAACCCAGCACGGGUGAGGCUGUGAAGAGUCAGGGCGUGAAGUGGUCCGGCAGCUUCUCCAAUGGUAACUGACGGGGUCACCCCCUGACCCAGCAGUUCCGCUCCUCGGUUUUGACCCCUGAGAAAGGAAGCCACAUGUUCACACAAGGGCUUGCACACGAGUGUUCAGAGCCGUGUACCCCCACAGCCGGAGGGGCCAGCAGCCCACGUGUUUGUUUCCUGAUGGGUGGUCCAUCCACUCGAUGGAACAUUAUUCGGCCGUAAAAAGGAAUGAGGUGCCGACACCAGGACAGCACGGAGGAACCCUGAAAACAUUUUGCUCAGUGAACGGAGUCAGACACAAAGUGGGACAUACUGUGUGACUGCAUUCAUGUGAAAUGUCCAGAACAGGUAAAACGUGGCCGUCACGUGGAGCUCACCUCUCCACACAGCACCACAGGACGCGUGUUCACUCUCUUGAUCCCCGCCCUGCCACGCUGACCCUUCACCUGCCCCCGGUGGUGUUGGGUACCUGCUGGACGCCAAGCCUGGGGGUGCCAAGGGCACAGCUGUGAGCAGCACAGAGCCCGCCAGGGCUGGCACCCACGAGCAGCUGGAAUCACCUGGGGCAAGGUCGUGUCCCUGUACUCAGUGGCUGCGGGGCUGGCCGUGGACUGCGUGCGACAGGCCCAGCCCGCCCUGGU